AUCAAUUCUGCUACUGUGCAUUACUGCAUCAUCACAUAAAUCACUCCAAUAACCAAUCCAUGCAGUUUCUUAUCAUACACUCUGUUCCCUCCUUCCCGUCUGUGACUGGCACUCUUCCCCCCCUCCCACUUUCAUUGACAGAAUCUGAGGUAGACAUCAUGUGGUUCGUUUAUUGUGUGUGUGUGUGUGUGUUUUCCUCUCAGUGAGUGUGUAAUGCUUUCUCGCACUCUCUUACACACUCUACAGCCCCUCUCUGCAGGUGUCCCUCCCCGUUCUGUUUCAUUCACAGCGCAGUGCCGAGCAAGAUGACUCAUCCUACGGUGUGAAAGACGCGAAUUGCUCUCUGUGUUCAUCCCAGCCCUUGGUUCUCUUCCAGUCUCCCUCGCUCUCACUGUCCUUCCCCGGCUAUCCUUCACUCCUUCACACCCUCCCUCCUCUCUCCACUCCUCCCUCUCUCUACAUCUAUGAGGCACCGAUCCAUAGCUCUGCUCCGUCACAUGCAGACAUUGAUGGACAGGAGGAAUUAUAGCAAACAAGGUCCUCUUGUGACAAGGACAAGUGAGAAGAAACGAGGAGAAUCACAAUGGUCCAUGUAGGAGGAGAAAAGGGCAAAGAGAGGAAGGGAGGCUAAUCACUGAAUGAAGAAAGGAUGAUGGCAGCAGGUUAGCCUGCGGGCAAAGAGGAUGACUGACAGCUGAAAGGACAAUGAAUCUUUUGAGAUUCAACGGCUGGAACAUCUUAUCUCUGCGGAACAAGUAGGAAGGAGCCGGUGACAUCCAGGCACCUCUAGAUAAAGGACAGACAUUGAUGCAACUCCCAGCCAAAAGCUGGGGGAACUGAGAGCAUAUCCUGUUGUGUAGAGUUGUGCUUUUCAGUUUCAAUAAACGACUUCUUUUUCUGUGGCACAGAAAUCCUGGUUGAAGUGUCUUUAUUCUUCCACGACAGA